GGGCGUGUAGCUCAGUCGGUAGAGCGUUCGCUUAGCAUUAUCUCCUCUUCUGCCUCCGCCACAAGCAGGAGGCAGGAGAGCUCAAUGCGAAAGGUCCCGUGUUCGACUCGCGGCUCGUCCA